ensembl:snRNA U6 U6 spliceosomal RNA
UCGCUUCAGCAGCACAUAGACUAAAAUAGGAAUGAUACAGAGAUCAGUCUGGUCCCUGCUCAGGGAUGACCUGCAAAUUCAUGAAGCAUUCCAUAUUUUC